rnacentral:rRNA from 1 species
UGGGGGAUAUUGCACAAUGGGCGAAAGCCUGAUGCAGCGACGCCGCGUGGGGGAUGAAGGCUUUCGGGUUGUAAACCUCUUUCGCUAUCGAACAAGGCCCGCUUAGGGUGGGUUGAGGGUAGGUGGAGAAGAAGCGCCGGCUAACUACGUGCCAGCAGCCGCGGUAAUACGUAGGGCGCGAGCGUUGUCCGGAAUUAUUGGGCGUAAAGGGCUUGUAGGCGGCUUGUUGCGCCUGCUGUGAAAACGCGGGGCUUAACUUCGCGCGUGCAGUGGGUACGGGCAGGCUUGAGUGUGGUAGGGGUGACUGGAAUUCCAGGUGUAGCGGUGGAAUGCGCAGAUAUCUGGAGGAACACCGAUGGCGAAGGCAGGUCACUGGGCCAUUACUGACGCUGAGGAGCGAAUGCAUGGGUAGCGAACAGG